AUUGAUCCUCGAAUGCUGCAUGUGUUGUUGUGCUGCCAUAGCCAGGAUCGCUCUUCGAAAUGGUCGACGCCGAGGAUUUCGACGAUGACUUGCUUGACAGCGCCUUGUGAGUCCUUCUUCUUUCUCGUCAGCUACAGUAGUUCUCUAGUGUUACAGAAAAAAUGUUUGCAGCUACAUUUCAAGCUGCUUCAUCCAGUUUCGAUUUCCGUGGAGUUGAUGGCUUUAAUCUCAAAGAAUUUGCAGGAUAUGCAGAACUUGUUGGAAACCAUGAUGCAGCAGCUACUCUCCAAGGAAGUAUUAUAUGAGCCGAUGAAAGAGAUUGUUGAGCAUUACCCGAUAUGGCUGGAGUCAUUUAAGUCGGAGCACAUCACUGAGGACUUGGCGCGCUACACAAGACUACACGACCUUAUCACGCAGCUGUGCCUCUUCUUUUUUUAUUCUAAAGUUGUAGAACUUCUGCAGGAUAUGUAAUAAUGUGGGCAACCAUCCCGAGAUAUAGUUCACGAGCUUGCGCCUGGACUAGAACUUGGAGAAGGCGGUUUGCCAAUGUUUGUGCCUCCUAGUCUUGUACUUGCUGUAGGUCUUGUUUGUCAACUAUGAUUCUCUCUGUGAGAUAAUUGCAUGAUGGUUAAGAUUUAUCUAUUGAUAUGGAGUCAGUAUCAUUUUGUUUGUGUCCGUUACCUGCUUGGAAAUGAAACAGUGCACCGAAUCUGUAUGCGUUAAAAGAUUUAUUACAGUCUCACAUAUUAAAGUUUCGUUAACGGAGCUUUGAAGAGUUAACUUGAGAAUGUAAACCGUUAGAUGUUUAUCUUCGUCAUUGGAGGCUCCCUGAAUUCUCAGGAGGAGGCGCACUCGGUGGUCCUGGUAACUUAAGCACCAUGUGAUGGAUAUCUAAUAAUAGGUUAGCAAGAAAUAUAGAUAGAUAGAUAGAUAGAAAGAUAGAUCUUUUUUUGGUCUGGUGAGGGAUCUGGUUGAAAUCGAACAUAAGGUGUGGAUCAAAGGUUGUCCGUUUGAAUUGUUUGUUAGAUUAGAGAUUUCUAGUUAUCUUAGUAGUCUCAGCGAAAUUUUACGUUUCCCACACUUCGCGACUCAGGAAGGGCAUGGGUUUUGAGAUAGCAUCGUUUCUAUAGGUCAGCAGUCAUGGCAACGACGCGUUCAUCUUAAAAUUCAGAAUCGUUUGGUACAGUGUGUCUGCUGAAGUAAGUGGUUGCAUUGACAGAUUCUUGUCCGGUGCAGAAGUAUAAUGUAUGCUUUCGAAAGAAGUUUUCGAUGCUCUUCUUUGUGAGGGAUUGUUAGUGUUGGAUGGUUCUUUUGUUUUAGCGCCAUUCAGGUAGAACGUUGCGGUAAUUUUUUAAUCUGCCACACACACACACACACACACAUAUAUAUAUAUAUGGAUGUUCAAGCAUAUCGUCGGCUGGAGUGCGAGAUUUUCUUCUUUCUUAAUGAAAUGGGGUGAUUGUCAGAUCAAUGUCACAGCACCUAACAAAGAUGGUGAUGAGAUCACGUGGCUGAAGGACUGAACAUAAUCAUACUGAGAAAACGGGAAGAAAGUUCAUCAAGCUCAGUGAAAUAGGUGGUUUGAGUUGAACAAGCCAAGAACGUGAAUCUGACUCAUGUAGUAGAUGGCCUUACUAACAGAAGUUAGUUAUUCUUUCGCCCAGGCACAUGGGGAACUAACUGCUGCAUACUUGACGGCUUGGAUAGGUUUUUUUGAGGCAUGCACGGCUGAAUGUGCCUAUUAAAAGUCUUGGAGGGUAAUAUAAAUGUACACAACAUCUUCUCUUCAUGUAGUCUUGCGGGUUCGCCAUGUUACUGCUCAACUUCUAUCCAGGAAGAAAGCAAGGUCGUUCCAUCAACCAGUUUUCAGCACAAUGUACGAUUACAACUCCAUUUAUUGAUAAUUUCAGGAACAUCUUAAUUAUAGGAUGUAGAUGUUGGAACGCCACUGUUCACCACUCGUGCAUUUGAUCUCCACUUUACUCAGUGGAUAUAGGGUUGCCAUUCUAGCCUUUGAGUCAUAAUCGAAAUUACGUCUGGAAGAUAUCGAAGUGUUUCAUCAUGGCGAAGAAAUCAUCCUUGAGUUUUUUGGUGAACAUGAUUCCUAGAGGUUUACAACCACAGCACCGUGACAUGGAAUCGAUUGCGCUUUGGGGUGUCGCCUCUGUUGUAGGCAUAUUUUGGCUUAUUCAACCAUGGGAUUGGCUCAGUGAGAAGAUUUGUGGUCCCGAGGAUAAAAACCCACUGAGCCCUUCCAGCUCAUUCAGGUCAAACUCUUUGUGAAAAUGUGAAGGUCACAGUGAACUGAUUCCAAGCACGCGAUGGUUUUGUCAAGGACAUGGUCACCCCAGAUGCAAUACUCAAUACUAAGCUUCCUCAAGUACCCAAAAUGUCCUACAUAUCAGAACUCUAUCUGCAACUUGCGUUGCUCCCGGGGCAAAGAAAUGAGAUGUUUCAGCCUGUGGCUUUCCAAAAACGUGCUGAUAUUGCGUUAGAACCACAUUGUUAGGUUUCAGAAAAGGUUGGAAGCGCAUAGAUGUAAUUGCAGCUGUGUCUUAAAGACUCACUGCCUGCGAUGUAUCAUUUUUGGUAGGAUUUAUGCGUGACCAUUAUCUGCGGAUCAGUAACUUCGAUAUGCUUGGUUGCUACAACUCUACAUAGAAGCAGUUCGGUGGGUA